CUCCUGGCUUCAGCUCCAACUGUCAUGCUCUCCUGGCCAGGACUCUGACUGGCUCUCAUCUCUAAAUGGGCAAUCUGGAGUGCAACACAGGGUGCUGUGCGUGGGUCUAGUACGGUGCCACGCGAAGUUAGUGAUCUUAAUACACGGCCCCUGGUUGAAGAAACGAAUGAAGGUGUCAGAUCUGCUAAAGUCAUUCCCACCCACAUCCAGCAAAACCCCUAUGGAAGAUGCAGCUUCGUGAGCAGUGGCUGGCGCAGUCAGUGCACGGAAGAGGCCCUGCCUGACACCUGAAGGGACGUGGGCCCUGCAGAGCCCCUGCUGUAACAGUGAGCCCC
rnacentral:lncRNA from 1 species